rnacentral:rRNA from 1 species
UACGUAGGGGGCAAGCGUUGUCCGGAUUUAUUGGGCGUAAAGAGCGUGUAGGCGGUUUGGUAGGUCCGUUGUGAAAACUCGAGGCUCAACCUCGAGACGCCGAUGGAAACCAUCAGACUAGAGUCCGGAAGAGGAGAGUGGAAUUCCUGGUGUAGCGGUGAAAUGCGCAGAUAUCAGGAAGAACACCCGCUGGCGUAAGGCGGCUCUCUAGUACGGUACUGACGCUGAGACGCGAAAGCGUGGGGAGCGAACAGG